GGCAAGGCAGACGAGUGAGUAACACGUAGGAACCAACCCUUAAGUUAGGAAUAACCCCGAGAAAUCAGGGAUAAUACCUAAUGUGAUAGCGAUAUUAAAGUAGCAAUACGCUUAAGGACGGGCCUGCGUCCUAUCAGCUUGUUGGUGAGGUAAUGGCUUACCAAGGCUAUGACGGGUAGGGGGCGUGAGAGCGUGAUCCCCCACGAUGGCACUGAGACACGGGCCAUACAUCUACGGAUGGCAGCAAGUAGGAAUAUUGCGCAAUGCCCCGAAUAUUCGGGGUGACGCAGCGACGUCGCGUGCAGGAAGAAGGCUUUCGGGUUGUAAACUGACGUCAAAAAGGAGCGGCUAACUUCGUGCCAGCAGCAGCGGUCAUACGGGGGCUCCAAGCGUCAUCCGGUUUUAUUGGGCGUAAAGAGUUCUGUAGGCGGCUUUAUAAGUUAUGGGUUAAAUAUCUCGGCUUAACCGAGGAAAGGCUCGUAAUACUGUAUCGCUAGAGUAAGGCAGGGGAAGAUGGAACGUAUGGUGUAGUAGUGAAAUACGUUGAUAUCAUACGGAACACCGAAGGCGUAGGCAAUCUUCUGGGUCUUUACUGACGCUGAGAGACGAAAGCGUGGGGAGCAAAACGGAUUAGAUACCCGUGUAGUCCACGCCGUAAACGAUGUCCGCUAGGUUCGUGGGUCGAGUUUUCGAUUUGCGA
rnacentral:rRNA from 1 species